rnacentral:rRNA from 1 species
GCCUACGGGACGCAGCAGUGAGGAAUAUUGGUCAAUGGGCGAGAGCCUGAACCAGCCAAGUCGCGUGAGGGAAGACGGUCCUAUGGAUUGUAAACCUCUUUUGUCGGGGAGCAAAAAGGCCUCGUGAGGCCACAAGCGAGAGUACCCGAAGAAAAAGCAUCGGCUAACUCCGUGCCAGCAGCCGCGGUAAUACGGAGGAUGCGAGCGUUAUCCGGAAUGAUUGGGCGUAAAGGGUGCGUAGGCGGCCUGCUAAGUCUGGAGUGAAAGGUACCGGCUCAACCGGUACAGGCUCUGGAAACUGGCGG